rnacentral:rRNA from 1 species
ACGGGAGGCAGUAGUGAGGAAUAUUGGUCAAUGGGCGGAAGCCUGAACCAGCCAAGUCGCGUGAAGGAAGACGGUUCUAUGGAUUGUAAACUUCUUUUGUUCGAGGGUAAAGUGAGAGAUGCGUCUCUUAUUGCAAGUAUCGGACGAAUAAGCAUCGGCUAACUCCGUGCCAGCAGCCGCGGUAAUACGGAGGAUGCGAGCGUUAUCCGGAUUUAUUGGGUUUAAAGGGUGCGUAGGCGGGAUGUUAAGUCAGCGGUGAAAGCGUGUUGCUCAACAAUACCGAGCCGUUGAAACUGGCGUUCUUGAGUGUAAACGAGGUAGGCGGAAUGUGAUGUGUAGCGGUGAAAUGCAUAGAUAUGUCACAGAACUCCGAUGGCGAAGGCAGCUUACCAGCAUACGACUGACGCUGAGGCACGAAAGCGUGGGUAUCAAACAGGAUUAGAUACCCUGGUA